ensembl:snRNA U7 U7 small nuclear RNA
AUGUGUUACAGCUCUUUUAGAAUAUAUCUAGCAGUUGUCUGGUUUUUACUGGACUUCCUC